rnacentral:rRNA from 1 species
UUUACAGGGGAUAGCCAGAGAAAUUUGGAUUAAUACCCAUGGCGUAUAUUUAUGGCAUCAUAUAUAUAUUAAAGAUUCAUCGGUAAGAGAUGAGUAUGCGUUCUAUUAGCUAGUAGGUGCGGUAACGGCGCACCUAGGCUACGAUAGAUAGGGCCCUGAGAGGGGGAUCCCCCACACUGGUACUGAGACACGGACCAG